rnacentral:rRNA from 1 species
UACGGAGGGGGCUAGCGUUGUUCGGAAUUACUGGGCGUAAAGAGCUUGUAGGCGGUUUGUCGCGUCUGCUGUGAAAAUCCGGGGCUCAACCCCGGACUUGCAGUGGGUACGGGCAGGCUAGAGUGUGGUAGGGGAGACUGGAAUCCCUGGUGUAGCGGUGAAAUGCGCAGAUAUCAGGAGGAACACCGGUGGCGAAGGCGGGUCUCUGGGCCGAUACUGACGCUGAGGAGCGAAAGCGUGGGGAGCGAGCAGG